UCCCCGGUAGCUCAAUUGGCAGAGCGGCGGACUGUUAAUCCGUAGGUUGUUGGUUCGAGUCCAACCCGGGGAG
rnacentral:tRNA from 1 species